CAAUAGCGUAUAUUUAAGUUGUUGCAGUUAAAAAGCUCGUAGUCGGAUUUUGGCUGAGAACGAUCGGUCCGCCGUUAGGUGUGCACUGAUUGGUCUCAGCUUCCUGGUGAGGAGGUGUGCUUCACGGCCACUUAGUCACCGUGGUUACUUUGAAAAAAUUAGAGUGUUCAAAGCGGGCUUACGCUUGAAUAUAUUAGCAUGGAAUAACACCAUAGGACUCCUGUCCUAUUUCGUUGGUCUCGGGACGGGAGUAAUGAUUAAGAGGAACAGUUGGGGGCAUUCGUAUUUCAUUGUCAGAGGUGAAAUUCUUGGAUUUAUGAAAGACGAACUCCUGCGAAAGCAUUUGCCAAGGAUGUUUUCAUUGA
rnacentral:rRNA from 1 species